GGAGGGUGCAAGCGUUAUCCGGAAUUAUUGGGUUUAAAGGGUUAGCGUAGGCGGGAUGAUAAGUCAGUGGUGAAAUCUUACAGCUUAACUGUAAAACUGCCAUUGAUACUAUCGUUCUUGAAUACAAUUGAAGUGGGCGGAAUGUGUCAUGUAGCGGUGAAAUGCUUAGAUAUGACACAGAACACCUAUUGCGAAGGCAGCUCACUAAGUUGUUAUUGACGCUGAGGCACGAAAGCGUGGGGAGCGAACAGGAUUAGAUACCCUGGUAGUCCACGCCCGUAAACGAUGAUUACUCGGUAUUGGCGAUACACUGUCAGUACCCAAGCGAAAGUUUUUAAGUAAUCCCACCUGGGAAGUUACGUCGGCAACGAUGA
rnacentral:rRNA from 1 species